rnacentral:rRNA from 1 species
UAAUACGAAGGGGGCUAGCGUUGCUCGGAAUUACUGGGCGUAAAGGGAGCGUAGGCGGACAUUUAAGUCAGGGGUGAAAUCCCGGGGCUCAACCUCGGAAUUGCCUUUGAUACUGGGUGUCUUGAGUAUGAGAGAGGUAUGUGGAACUCCGAGUGUAGAGGUGAAAUUCGUAGAUAUUCGGAAGAACACCAGUGGCGAAGGCGACAUACUGGCUCAUUACUGACGCUGAGGCUCGAAAGCGUGGGGAGCAAACAGGAUUAGAUACCCUGGUAGUCCACGCCGUAAACGAUGAUUGCUAGUUGUCGGGAUGCAUGCAUUUCGGUGACGCAGCUAACGCAUUAAGCAAUCCGCCUGGGGAGUACGGUCGCAAGAUUAAA